rnacentral:rRNA from 1 species
AUUGAACGCUGGCGGCAUGCUUUACACAUUCAAGUCGAACGGCAGCGCGGGCUUCGGCCUGGCGGCGAGUGGCGAACGGGUGAGUAAUACAUCGGAACGUGCCCAGUAGUGGGGGAUAGCUCGGCGAAAGCCGGAUUAAUACCGCAUACGACCUGAGGGUGAAAGCGGGGGAUCUUCGGACCUCGCGCUAUUGGAGCGGUCGAUGGCAGAUUAGCUAGUUGGUGGGGUAAAGGCCUACCAAGGCGACGAUCUGUAGCUGGUCUGAGAGGACGACCAGCCACACUGGGACUGAGACACGGCCCAGACUCCUACGGGAGGCAGCAGUGGGGAAUUUUGGACAAUGGGCGAAAGCCUGAUCCAGCAAUGCCGCGUGUGUGAUGAAGGCCUUCGGGUUGUAAAGCACCUUUGGCGGGAACGAAAAGGACUGUGCCAAUACCGCGGUUCGAUGACGGUACCCGCAGAAUAAGCACCGGCUAACUACGUG